GAUGAACGCUAGCUACAGGCUCAACACAUGCAAGUCGAGGGGUAGCACGGAGGAAGCUUGCUUCCUUGGAUGACGACCGGCGCACGGGUGAGUAACGCGUAUCCGACCUACCCAUAACUCGGGCACAGCCGCUCGAAAGAGUGAUUGAUUCCCGAUAUGUCUUUAGAGUAGAUUUAAAGAUGAAAGAUUUAUCGGUUAUGGAUGGGGAUGCGUAAGAUUAGGUAGUAGGCGGGGUAACGGCCCACCUAGCCGACGAUCUUUAGGGGUUCUGAGAGGAAGGUCCCCCACACUGGUACUGAGACACAGACCAGACUCCUACGGGAGGCAGCAGUGAGGAAUAUUGGUCAAUGGGCGGAAGCCUGAACCAACCAUGUAGCGUGAAGGAUUACAGCCCUACGGGUUUUAAACUUCUUUUAUAUAAGAGUAGUGUGCACUACGUGUAGUGUAUUGCAAGUAUUAUAUGAAUAAGCAUCGGCUAACUCCGUGCCAGCCGCCGCAGUAAGAC
rnacentral:rRNA from 1 species